GACGUAGGGUCCAAGCGUUGUCCGGAUUUACUGGGCGUAAAGAGCUCGUAGGUGGUUUGUCGCGUUGUUCGUGAAAACUCACAGCUCAACUGUGGGCGUGCGGGCGAUACGGGCAGACUGGAGUACUGCAGGGGAGACUGGAAUUCCUGGUGUAGCGGUGGAAUGCGCAGAUAUCAGGAAGAACACCCGUGGCGAAGGCGGCUCUCUGGGACGGUACUGACGCUGAGACGCGAAAGCGUGGGGAGCGAACAGG
rnacentral:rRNA from 1 species